AGUGAACGCUGGCGGUAGGCCUAACACAUGCAAGUCGAACGGCAGCACAGUAAGAGCUUGCUCUUACGGGUGGCGAGUGGCGGACGGGUGAGGAAUACAUCGGAAUCUACUUUUUCGUGGGGGAUAACGUAGGGAAACUUACGCUAAUACCGCAUACGACCUACGGGUGAAAGCAGGGGAUCUUCGGACCUUGCGCGAUUGAAUGAGCCGAUGUCGGAUUAGCUAGUUGGCGGGGUAAAGGCCCACCAAGGCGACGAUCCGUAGCUGGUCUGAGAGGAUGAUCAGCCACACUGGAACUGAGACACGGUCCAGACUCCUACGGGAGGAAGCAGUGGGGAAUAUUGGACAAUGGGCGAAAGCCUGAUCCAGCCAUACCGCGUGGGUGCAGAAGGCCUUCGGGUUGUAAAGCCCUUUUGUUGGGAAAGAAAAGCAGCAGGUUAAUACCCCGCUGUUCUGACGGUACCCAAAGAAUAAGCACCGGCUAACUUCGUG
rnacentral:rRNA from 1 species